UACGAAGGGUGCAAGCGUUGCUCGGAAUUACUGGGCGUAAAGCGUGCGUAGGCGGUUUGUUAAGUCUGAUGUGAAAGCCCUGGGCUCAACCUGGGAAUGGCAUUGGAUACUGGCAACCUAGAAUGUGGUAGAGGGUGGCGGAAUUCCCGGUGUAGCAGUGAAAUGCGUAGAUAUCGGGAGGAACAUCCGUGGCGAAGGCGGCCACCUGGACCAACAUUGACGCUGAGGCACGAAAGCGUGGGGAGCAAACAGG
rnacentral:rRNA from 1 species